GAUGAACGCUAGCGGCAGGCUUAACACAUGCAAGUCGAGGGGUAUUGGUUUUCGGACCAAGAGACCGGCGCACGGGUGCGUAACGCGUAUGCAAUCUACCUUUUGCAGAGGGAUAGCCCCAGAGAAAUUUGGAUUAAUACCUCAUAGUAUAGUACUUUGGCAUCAAGGAACUAUUAAAGUCACAACGGCAAAGAUGAGCAUGCGUCCCAUUAGCUAGUUGGUAAGGUAACGGCUUACCAAGGCUACGAUGGGUAGGGGUCCUGAGAGGGAGAUCCCCCACACUGGUACUGAGACACGGACCAGACUCCUACGGGAGGCAGCAGUGAGGAAUAUUGGACAAUGGGCGCAAGCCUGAUCCAGCCAUGCCGCGUGCAGGAUGACGGUCCUAUGGAUUGUAAACUGCUUUUAUACAGGAAGAAACACUACUUCGUGAAGUAGCUUGACGGUACUGUAAGAAUAAGGAUCGGCUAACUCCGUGCCAGCAGCCG
rnacentral:rRNA from 1 species